rnacentral:tRNA from 1 species
ACCUGGCUGGCUCAGUUGGUGGAGCAUGUGACUCUUAAUCUCAGGGUCAUGAGUUCAAGCCCCAUGUUGGGCG